rnacentral:rRNA from 1 species
CCCUUAGAUGUUCUGGGCCGCACGCGCGCUACACUGUUCGACGCAGCGAGUCUUAACCUUGACCGAAAGGUUUGGGUAAUCUUCAGCAAAGUCGAACGUGAUGGGGAUCGAUCAUUGCAAUUAUUGAUCGUGAACGAGGAAUUCCUAGUAAGUGCAAGUCAUCAGCUUGCGCUGAUUACGUCCCUGCCCUUUGUACACACCGCCCGUCGCUACUACCGAUUGAAUGGUUUAGUGAGAUCUCUGGAUUGACGCUGACUAGGGGGCGACCCUUGGCCAGACUGUUGAGAAACUGCUCAAACUUGAUCAUUUAGAGGAAGUAAAAGUCGUAACA